rnacentral:rRNA from 1 species
AUUGAACGCUGGCGGCAGGCCUAACACAUGCAAGUCGAGCGGAUGAAGGGAGCUUGCUCCUGGUUCCAGCGGCGGACGGGUGAGUAAUGCCUAUGAAUCUGCCUGGUAGUGGGGGAUAACGUCCGGAAACGGGCGCUAAUACCGCAUACGUCCUGCGGGAGCAAGUGGGGGAUCUUCGGACCUCUCGCUAUCAGAUGAGCCUAGUUCGGAUUAGCUAGUUGGUGGGGUAAAGGCCUACCAAGGCGACGAUCCGUAACUGGUCUGAGAGGAUGAUCAGUCACACUGGAACUGAAACACGGUCCAGGCUACUACGGGAGGCAGCAGUGGGGAAUAGUGGACAAUGGGCGAAAGCCUGAUCCAGCCAUGCCGCGUGUGUGAAGAAGGUCUUCGGAUUGUAAAGCACUUUAAGUUGGGAGGAAGGGCAGUAAGUUAAUACCUUGCUGUUUUGACGUUACCAACAGAAUAAGCACCGGCUAACUUCGUG